rnacentral:rRNA from 1 species
CUACGGGGGGCUGCAGUGGGGAAUAUUGCGCAAUGGGCGAAAGCUUGACGCAGCAACGCCGCGUGAGGGAUGAAGGCUUUCGGGUCGUAAACCUCUGUCGGAAGGGAAGAACGGGCAUUGGUCUAAUAGGCCUUUGUUUUGACGGUACCUUUAGAGGAAGCACCGGCUAACUCCGUGCCAGCAGCCGCGGUAAUACGGAGGGUGCAAGCGUUAUUCGGAAUUACUGGGCGUAAAGCGCACGUAGGCGGCCUUGUAAGUCCGGGGUGAAAUCCCACGGCUCAACCGGGGAACUGCCUUUGAAACUGCAGGGCUUGAAUCCUGGAGAGGGUGGCGGAAUUCCUGGUGUAGGAGUGAAAUCCGUAGAUAUCAGGAGGAACACCGGUGGUGAAGGCGGCCACCUGGACAGGUAUUGACGCUGAGGUGCGAAAGUGUGGGGAGCAAACAGGAUUAGAUACCCCUGUAGUC